rnacentral:rRNA from 1 species
UGGCGGACGGGUGAGUAACGCGUGGGUAACCUGCCUCAUACAGGGGAUAACAGUUAGAAAUGACUGCUAAUACCGCAUAAGACCACAGCACCGCAUGGUGCAGGGGUAAAAACUCCGGUGGUAUGAGAUGGACCCGCGUCUGAUUAGGUAGUUGGUGGGGUAACGGCCUACCAAGCCGACGAUCAGUAGCCGACCUGAGAGGGUGACCGGCCACAUUGGGACUGAGACACAGCCCAA